GAUGAAGAACGUAGCGAAAUGCGAUACUUGGUGUGAAUUGCAGAAUCCCGUGAACCAUCGAGUCUUUGAACGCAAGUUGCGCCCGAAGCCAUUAGGCCGAGGGCACGCCUGCCUGGGCGUCACACGUCGUUGCCCCCCCAUCUACUCCUUCGGGAUUGCGGGGGGCGGAUGAUGGCCUCCCGUGCGCCUCACCACGCGGUUGGCAUAAAUGCCAAGUCCUCGGCGACGCACGCCACGACAAUCGGUGGUUGCGAAACCUCGGUUGCCCGUCGUGUGCGGUCGUCGCGCAUCGAGGGCUCGAAAAAAUUGCCGGGUUCCGGCUCGGCUUUCAACGCGACCCCAGGUCAGGCGGGGUUACCCGCUGAAUUUAAGCAUAUCAAUAAGCGGAGGA
rnacentral:misc_RNA from 1 species